AUGGCGCCGCCGACCAUCCAAAAAGUCAAAGAUGGCGUCGGCAUUUACUUAUUAUGCUCUCUUCUAAUAGUGGUCCCUUGGUAUUCAGGUUGUAAAAUCCUGAUAGGAAAGUCGACUGUUAUACCUUGUUUUUGUAAUGGCCUAUCUUCUUUAAAAAGCCGAAAGAUAAGGAUUUCGCAAAACUUUUGCGUUCCUUUUUCUUUGAAAAGAAAAUACCAUUUUUGGGCCGCUGUUACCAUUUCCAUUUCCUGA
rnacentral:rRNA from 1 species